GACGAACGCUGGCGGCGUGCUUAACACAUGCAAGUCGAACGGUAAGGCCCUUCGGGGUACACGAGUGGCGAACGGGUGAGUAACACGUGGGUGAUCUGCCCUGCACUUCGGGAUAAGCCUGGGAAACUGGGUCUAAUACCGGAUAGGACCACUGCCUGCAUGGGGGGUGGUGGAAAGCUUUUGCGGUGUGGGAUGGCCCGCGGCCUAUCAGCUUGUUGGUGGGGUGAUGGCCUACCAAGGCGACGACGGGUAGCCGGCCUGAGAGGGUGACCGGCCACACUGGGACUGAGAUACGGCCCAGGCUCCUACGGGAGGCAGCAGUGGGGAAUAUUGCACAAUGGGCGCAAGCCUGAUGCAGCGACGCCGCGUGAGGGAUGACGGCCUUCGGGUUGUAAACCUCUUUCAGCAUCGACGAAGCGCAAGUGACGGUAGGUGCAGAAGAAGGACCGGCCAACUACGUGCCAGCCGCCGCGGUAA
rnacentral:rRNA from 1 species